rnacentral:rRNA from 1 species
CACCUGAUUGACGAUGGAUCACCAGUGAGUGGCGGACGGGUGAGUAACACGUAGGUAACCUGCCCGGGAGCGGGGGAUAACAUUUGGAAACAGAUGCUAAUACCGCAUAACAACAAAAGCCACAUGGCUUUUCUUUGAAAGAUGGCUUUGGCUAUCACUCUGGGAUGGACCUGCGGUGCAUUAGCUAGUUGGUAAGGUAACGGCUUACCAAGGCGAUGAUGCAUAGCCGAGUUGAGAGACUGAUCGGCCACAAUGGAACUGAGACACGGUCCAUACUCCUACGGGAGGCAGCAGUAGGGAAUCUUCCACAAUGGGCGCAAGCCUGAUGGAGCAACACCGCGUGAGUGAAGAAGGGUUUCGGCUCGUAAAGCUCUGUUGUUGGAGAAGAACGUGCGUGAGAGUAACUGUUCACGCAGUGACGGUAUCCAACCAGAAAGUCACGGCUAACUACGUGCCAGCAGCCGCGGUAAUACGUAGGUGGCAAGCGUUAUCCGGAUUUAUUGGGCGUAAAGCGAGCGCAGGCGGUUGCUUAGGUCUGAUGUGAAAGCCUUCGGCUUAACCGAAGAAGUGCAUCGGAAACCGGGCCGACUUUGAGUGCAGAAGAGGACAGUGGAACUCCAUGUGUAACCGGGUGGAAUGCGUAGAUUUAUGGAA